AAGUUCCAAAGAGAGAGAGAGAGAGAUAAAGAAUUAUUUAAUUGUGUCCAUGAGUUGGUUAGGUGAUCCUCCAAUUCCAAUUGGCUAUCCAUCUAUCCUCUUCUUCCAUUUAUACUCUUCAGAAACAACAAAAAUCAAAAGGCAACACAAUAAUACUGUCUAAAUGCUUCUCUACUUUCUCAUAACUUGUCUUUCUUUCUUUUUCUUUGCCAAAUCUCUAUCCCUUCCUCCAUGGGCAUCUGAAACCAAAACCUUGCUCUCCUUCUACUUCAUCAAGAAUCCCUUCAUGAACACCCUACAUCAGACCAAACAAGAUCUAGCCUCUCCGGUGCUUGACCAAAUGUCAGUCCUUGACCUCCCUGACCUGGCUCUUGACU
rnacentral:lncRNA from 1 species